rnacentral:lncRNA from 1 species
CCAAGCUUUGUAAAAAGCUACAGGACCUCUACAGCUUUAAGAUGUUCUGGGGAUGAUAUUUCUAAAGUACCACGUAGGAAAGAUUGCAUUAAAAUAAAAUAUUCACACACUGUGAAGCAGCAAGGGGUACCUUUUCAGUCUCAUUUCUCUAUCUGUAGUAGUCUCUUUAUCCUCUGUCUGUAAAAAUUCAAUCCACCUCUAAAAGCCUAGGGCAAAUGUCACCACCUUCAUAAAUUUUUUCUUUAUGUUCUAAAUUAAAAGUGAUGUCACCCUCCUAGAAUUCAAUAACUUGGCAGUUUUGGUUUUUUUUCCCCC